rnacentral:rRNA from 1 species
UACGUAGGGUGCAAGCGUUAUCCGGAAUUAUUGGGCGUAAAGAGCUCGUAGGCGGUUUGUCGCGUCUGCUGUGAAAACUGGGGGCUCAACCCCCAGCCUGCAGUGGGUACGGGCAGACUAGAGUGCGGUAGGGGAGAUUGGAAUUCCUGGUGUAGCGGUGGAAUGCGCAGAUAUCAGGAGGAACACCGAUGCGAAGGCAGAUCUCUGGGCCGUAACUGACGCUGAGGAGCGAAAAGCAUGGGGGAG